rnacentral:rRNA from 1 species
AUUGAACGCUGGCGGCAUGCCUUACACAUGCAAGUCGAACGGCAGCACGGGUGCUUGCACCUGGUGGCGAGUGGCGAACGGGUGAGUAAUAUAUCGGAACGUACCUUAUUGUGGGGGAUAACGCAGCGAAAGCUGUACUAAUACCGCAUAAUCCCUAAGGGGGAAAGCGGGGGACCGUAAGGCCUCGCGCAAUUAGGGCGGCCGAUACCUGAUUAGCUAGUUGGUGAGGUAAAGGCUCACCAAGGCAACGAUCAGUAGCUGGUCUGAGAGGACGAUCAGCCACACUGGGACUGAGACACGGCCCAGACUCCUACGGGAGGCAGCAGUGGGGAAUUUUGGACAAUGGGGGCAACCCUGAUCCAGCAAUGCCGCGUGAGUGAAGAAGGCCUUCGGGUUGUAAAGCUCUUUUGUCAGGGAAGAAACAGCAGCUCUAACACAGUUUGCGAAUGACGGUACCUGAAGAAUAAGCACCGGCUAACUACGUGCCAGCCGCCGCAGUAA